UCUAAGGAUGGUUCUUCAGAAGCUUGCUUCUAUCGAACCGUUUUAGAAACAUCAGUGGCCAACGAUCGUCAGGAUUGUUGAGCUGCAUUGGCGGGAUUUCGCCGUCUUCGUUUCUCUUUCUUCGCGGACGAACACGCGCUGGGGCUGCAAGCUUGCAGAAUCCCUGGUCCUUGACUGGAUAUGCGUUAGGGGCUUGUAGCUCAGUUGGUUAGAGCGCGCGCUUGAUAAGCGUGAGGUCGGAAGUUCAAGUCUUCCCAGGCCCACCACACUCAUCGAGUGAGCAUUCGUCUUCUGGUUACGGGGCCAUAGCUCAGCUGGGAGAGCGCGUGCUUUGCAAGCAUGAGGUCGUCGGUUCGAUCCCGUCUGGCUCCACCAGAUGGUUUGAUCAUCGACUGAUCGUGCACCUAAAUCGUCCGCGAAACAUCACUUCGCACUUACUAGUCCGGAUGGACAGUAAGCUGCGUGAUUUCUGACAUCGUAAAGAGGAGAUCGAUCCGAGUUGGAUCGGGCAACAAGCAAUUGUUGCGCGAUACUUCAUUAUCUCCGGAUCAUUUCGGCGCUCGUGCGCCUUUCAAUGUAGCUCACAAGGCUGCGUCUGAGAGGAAUGCGAGUUGUAAAUGAUCCUUUUAGCGAAGCUUGACCGCCUCGCUAUCGGAACGAUCUUACGAAGCAAGCUGGUCUUUCUAAUCAUUGUCCGGCUGCAGAUAGCGUUCAUCGAGGGCGCGUGCCGCAAGGUAAUUCUGCAGACAACAUUCUGCCGAGUGUGUGGACAUUGAUAAUGAGAGC
rnacentral:tRNA from 1 species